rnacentral:rRNA from 1 species
GGAGUAUGGACCGUGUCUCAGUUCCAUUGUGGGGGACACUCCUCUCAGAGCCCCUACCCGUCGUCGGCACGGCGGGCCGCUGCCCCGCCGUCUACCUGAUGGGACGCGAGCCAAUCCGUGACCGGUAUCACUACCUUUCAUCAUCGCACCAUGCGACGCAAUGAUAUAUGGGGUAUUAGGAGACGUUUCCAUCUGUUAUCCCCCUGUCACGGGCAUGUCGCUCACGCGUUACGCACCCUUCCGCCGGUCGCCGCCAGUGUAUUGCUACACCGCGCUGCCCCUCGACUUGCAUGUGUUAAGCCUGCCGCUAGCGUUCAUC